rnacentral:lncRNA from 1 species
AUAAGAUGCAGACUAGAGCCAGGCGUUUCCCGGGCCCCUGCUCCUCAGUGGUGCAGCCACAAGCAGAAUUUUCAGAAGCAUGGAUGGGAUUUCCGACUUCAUCUAGACUUCACAUCCGCUUUGUUCAGAAAAGAAAACUCAGGCCCGGAGACGGAUAGUUAGUGAUUUGCCAAAGGUCGUGUAGACAUCAGUAUUGCUGCCAUCCCAGGAGCCAGACUCAAAUCUCCUUACUGACCUGUCUAUCUCAACACCCUUUAGAAAGAGAGCCACCAACACUGGAGUUGGAGAGGCUAGGGGUUUGUUUGAACAGAGAAGGGAUAGUGUGAGGUCAAGGAUGCAAAUUUCUAAAAUUCUGAGCUGGGUUAAAAGAAAAAUCUUUCUCUACUGUGGUAAUAUCCACAUUGGAACAAGGGACCCUCCUCUCAUCCCUUCAUCACCAGACUAUAUUCAAGUCACGUAUCCCCACCCAGAGGGAAAGGUUAGCUGCAGAUGAAGAAGAUGGAGCACAAACACUAUUAUUGCCUGAUUCACUUUGUGGAAAAUUUUCUAAUCCUGGCCCUGCCAUUUCCUGGCUGCGUGUGUGUGGUGCAGCAAGUGGGGCCAGGGGACAACUGAUGGUUUAGCAUUUGCAGAUGAGUUCCCUAUGAGCAUGUGUAGUCCAAGUACACACUCCACAUGCAGAAACACGCAAAUGUGCAUGCAUGCACCAUGCCCUUAUGUAGAGAUCAUGUGUACAACUGCAGAGAUCAUUUCCACACACCAUGCACACAGGUGCAUAUCUAUGCAUUUACAUCCCAGCCUCAUAUUCUCUCCACAGGCACAAAGACUCAUACACCAGCACCUUCUUCCAAUAUAUCACACCUACCAAGCACAUACUUGCAUAUGUAGUACAUUGAUAUAGCAAUAUACCCACAGAAAACAUUUCUGUGGUAAUUUUGCAAAGAUCCCAAGAAGCUGAAAACAAACAUUAGGUGGCAUAUUCUCUGUCCAUUCUAAAGUGAGGAGCUUGGGCUCUCACCAGCUUGAGAAUCCUGGCAUAGCCAGGCCAUGUGGAGUAGCGGGCACGCUGUGAGGGACAAGAGAUUACAGCGAGCUCAGAAGCAGAGCAAGGUAUUUAUCUUCCCCCUCCCCAUUGAGUAGAACUAGAACAAGGAUUUGAUUUUGCCUUAAAUCAAAAAGCCUCUCUUUUGGUUUUGCCUCUUAGCUGAAUGCAAGGGGGAAAAGCGGGAGAGAUUCCUGCAGGAAAACAUGAAGAACGGGGAAAGUAGCUGCCGCAUGCCAAUGUGAAACUCCGAGGAGUCUAGCCAUUCUGAUCUGGCCUUCCAGGUCAUUAGGAGGCUCUGCCAUCGUGUGAGGAGAAUUGUUUUAGAGAAAAUGAUCUGGACCAGAGGGAAUGAGUCUGGACCAGACCUCGACACUGCCCCAAUGAAAGAACUUGAGAACACUGGUCCCGUCUUCCCCUCUAAUCUCCCCUCUUUCCAUCGCCUCUCCCGGUGCCCUGGGCUCCACUUACAGGCCCCUGAGCAACCACUGCAUUUUUGCACAUGCUGCUUCCACCCAGGAUGGAUGGCUUUUCCCUCCUUUCUUCACCCCACCAGCUUUCUCCUUCAGGUGCCAGCUUAGUCCCUGGCUCCUUGGGUCCCUCCCACUUGUCCCCCGGCUGUAGCUUUCAUGCCUCCUCUGUACUUCCCAAGCUCUAGAGUGUCCUUCUAUAAACAGACUCUGUGUACCGUACUGUGGGCUGAUUGCUACCUGUCUGUCUCUUGUCAUUGCUGGCAAGCAAUUUGGGGUAGUGAUUACGUUUUAUUCACCUCUCUGUUCCAGUGUGCAGCUCGGACAUGGAGGGCAGAAGGUGCUCAGGAAGGAUCUUCUGCAUGCAGGAGCCUCCUCUCUCGAAGGGUGUUCUCCAAUCAUGAGCUUAUUUGCUGUUUACAUGCCCGAGGAGGACUGACCUUAGCAGCUAUGAUGACCUCAUUUAUCACUGUGGAUAAGCACUUGGCCAGGGUCUCAGCCAGCACCCCAGGCCCAGCCUCCUGGUUUACUCAUUUCUGGGGGUGGUGGCAUCUGCCCACUGUCCUGAACUUUCCUCUGCUUGGGUAGGGACAGGGAGCCCCAGCAGCACUUGUUCCAGGAUGACCCAGCAAAUUGCAAGGUGGCAUUUGGCCUUUUCCUCAGCAAUUGCCAGACUUUGUCCCAGGGUGAGGAGGAAGCCGUACUGCCAACAAGAAGGCCCAAUCAAGAUCCUCCCACAACAAGAGCAGAUUGUGAGCGUGGCAAGCUCUAUGCUGAGCACUGGAAGGACAAAGAGAGAUUGGGCACAGACUUCUCACUGAUCCAGGUGAUGAAGAGCUCACAUCUGAGAGGAUGUGACCAUGGAUGACCCACCAGAAUGUCAUGGGAUCCAGCUACAGCCAAGGAAGCACAGAGCACCGUGGGAGCGAUUUAUUGUGCUUGGGGAUGGGGAAGGGGACAUGGGAGGAGCCAUAUUGAGAAAGUAGCAUGGGUACUUGGCUUCACAGAGUGUGGCAGCUUUCAUCAGGAAGUGAUGGUGGGGGAACAGCGUCUCUGGCGGAGGGAAGCAGCAGGUGCAAAAACAAGAACAUCGUGACGUCAGAGCAGGGGUGGGGAGAAAUCUCCCUCGAGAUCUCCGUGGGCACCGGAAAUAGAAACUGCUCCCUUUGAAGCAUCUAUUAGAAGAUCCAAGUCUCUAACAGAUCACCAUGAGAUUUCAAUUCAGUUCCUAUUAAGCACCAACUGAACGCAUGUGAGAAUGUCAGGGAAUCAGUUGGUGAAGAGGCAACCGUUUUAAUUUAAUUUUAUUUAUUUGAACAGAGUAAGCCUCUGUUCAAUCCUGACUCAUCUUCUUUCUUCUCUUACUACCCAUUUGCCCUUGAGCAGUUCACUUAAACUUUCUGACCCCAUUUCCUCUUCAGUAAUAAUAAUUCUUGUCUCAUUGAGAUAGUGUGAGGGCUUAAAGGGAAUUACAUUUUUCAAAAGCAUCUUGCACAGAUCUGGCACAGUCAGUGGUAGGUCUUCUUAGCAUAAGGAUAUAAAAAGAUCUUUCUGUAAGGUUGGUGUGGGGAUUAAAUUGGAUGACAUAUCUUUACUUUCAAGCAAGCUCUGGACUGAGCUCUUACUAAGGUUUCAGCUAAGGAGAGAGAUUUCUUUCCUCCUCUCUAGACACUGGGGUAACUGGUUCUGGUCCCCCAGUGUUCUGGUUAGUAGAACUAAAUACGUACACGCACAAUGAAUGUUUACACAACAUCCGCUCAUUCCAUUCCACAAAUAUUUCUUUUAACAUUGAGAACGAGCUCUGGGGCCCUACCAGAAGAUUAGGGGAUGAACGCAGCUUGCAAGGCCAAAGCUGUCCCCAUUUGGUUUUGCCAGCUCUUGCUCAUCCAUGAAAUAAACCGGAUGAAGCCUUCAUCCAGCCCUUGUUUUGAGAAGGAGGCAAGCAGAGAGCGUGGAUUUAAUGUGGCAGAUGGUGCUGUCCUUGAAUUAUGAAACCAAAGGAGGAAAUUAAAGUGCUCCAUUGCAACAGAUAUGGGCCAGCCGGGGCAGAAGGCAGGAGGUGGGGCAGAAAGGAGGGCAGGAAGGAGGUGCUGUAUCAACUGGGCAAUGGCUAUUUUCAAGGGUAGCUGGAGUCCUAAGAUAAUAGAAUUCCGUAGCCCCAUAUAAUUUUAGAAUCUUCAUCUUACAUAGGCAAAUGAGGCUCAGAGAGGGAAAGUGACUGUGAAGGUCACACAGCCAGUUAGUGGCAGAGCAACUCACACGUCACUGAAAUUUCCUGAGCACCUGCUCAAGGAAAAACCAUACCCCACGCACUGUGCUCAAGUUGUAUUCUUUGUACUUGCCUCACAGUGAAUUUGUGAGAUGGGAUCACCAACCCAUUUUAUGGACGAGGAAAUGGAAGUUGGACAGACUAUACCACUGUUCAGGGAGACACAGCUAGAAUCUGAACCCAGACCUCUCUGACUCCAUGGCCCAGACUUUCUCUGUCUCCUGGGUCUAGAACUCUGUGUUCCGGUUUGGGCAGAAGGUGGGGCCAGUUGGACCAUUCAGAGGGCCCUGGCUCAGGGUGCCAUCCCUACCCCCAGAUCUUCCACCUGCAGCCACAGGCAGAAGUCUUCUCCACUGCAAGGUGAUAAAGCAGACAGCCCAGCUGGCCGUCCUCUCCUCACUCGCUGCCAUCCUAUUUAGUGGCCAUCUGGCUUUCAUCUCUGUGAUUCUCGGACUGUCCCUCCUCGAGGUCCCUCUUAAAGAGGCAGACACACUGGCUUCAGUAAAGGACCUCCACUCCCAAGCCAAUGCAUCCCCAGCCUUUACCAGGACAAGCCUAACAAAGAAAAGGCCACACAACAGGGGUUUCUGGUAGCAACACAAGUCUAUUUCAAACCUCGGAUUAGAGUAUCCGAAAGAAUUACCUGUUCCAAGCAAACACGUUCCCACCCUCUGGCAGAAAUGCGGUUGGAGCAGCCUGACGCCACGGCAGACUCCAAAUACUCUCCACUGAAGCUUGCUUUAUCCUGUUUGAAACUCCUCUGUCUGUCCCCAGAGAGUCUGGAAAUACACUCUUUCUAGGAGCUGAUGGAAAAUUAACCCACAUUAUGAGAGAGCUAGUUGAUGCUGCAUUGGGGACAGGAAGGUCCAUUUGAAAGGGGGAAAAAACAACAACAAAAAAAACAUAAACAAUAGGGCAGAGGAAGCAAUCGGAUAGGCAUUUGCUUCAGGUGAGCAGAGGGAUGACUUUCUGUCCCACAUCUGUGAAGAUCAGCUGUUGGUUUACAUUGCCAGGGUGAAAUUCAACAGAACUAAUUUAGGGUGAAGAUCUUGAGGCCCACAAGGAAUUUCCUUGUGGGAAAAUUGUGAGGAAGCUUAUUUUUCAUAUAUGCUGUUUUAAUCUGGCAGCUCUACUGUCCAAGCAAGGUAGAGAUGAACUGUGUGCUCUUUUCCAAGGAGCUAAUCUCAUCAGAUAGAGAUUUUGCUUUUGUUCCAUCAAAAGUCUUGCUCACUUACCAAGGGAGCUUGGAUAUGAGAGAACUGAGGCCCAAAGAAAUGCUGCAUGUACCCAAAAGCACCCGUAGGGGACUAUCCUGGUGGUACAAUCAUAGAGUGGAGUUCUACGUUGUCAUCAAGAAGGCUCUUUACAUAUCACCAUGAAAAAAAUCUCAGAGAAAAAUACGGAUCAGGAUACUAUGUUGAGCAUGCUACAAUUAGUGCAAAACUGGACAAAAGGAAGAAUGUAUUAUAUAUAAAAUUUAUAUUUGCAUAAAACAUCACUGCAAGAUGACGCAUGAAACUGAAAGCAUUGGCUGCCUUGAGGGAGGAGGAGGAGUGUGUGCCUGAGAGACAGGGUGGAAGGGAGGUUUGUCAUGAUUGACUCGUUUCACUUUUCAAAUGUGGAACAAUAUGAGUAUGUUCCCUACUAAUAAAUGAAUGGUUAAAGUGUUUUAAAGAAUCCUUUGAAAACCACCUUCUUGGCCCUCGCCAAGCCUCAGCUUCCUCAUUUAUGAAGUGGGCAUAGUGGUCCUAUCUAUUUCACAGGAUGCUGGUAAAGAUCAAACGAGCUGAUCCAAGUGUCCCCUGAAGUGCUACACCAGCCAUUUAGCAACCUCGCCAUGCGCCACCUGCAUGCAGCCUGGAGUGGCAAAGGCCCUGAAGACGCUGAAGCUGUUGACCUUUUCCUCUUUUUCAGGAACAUGGUCCCUGGGAGUCAUUUUCUUUCAUCAUCCACAAAUAAGAAAAGACGUUGUUACAUUAGCUCCAAGAUAGCUCUUUCCACAAUGGGAAAUUUCUGCUGACAGUCACUAAGGAAACACAGGCCCACCGGGUGGGGCUCUCGGCCAGCAUCUUGAAGGCGGGUACAGGAAGCAACUCACUAGUGACUUUGAGUGUCACCUAGCAGGUCACCACUGCCUCAGGAGUGGCUGGCAAGGGCAGCGCAGGCCUCCACAGAUCGGAUGAGAGAAGAGAAGUGACUUCCCCAUGGUCACAUGUCUAGUUGGCAAUGGAAGUGGGAUUCAAGUCCAGUUCCACCUGACUUCAAAGCUUAUUCCUGUUUGACUUCACCCUGCUGCCUCUAAGAUAAAGGGGAGAUCAGGAGAGCAGAAUGGUUGCUUCCCCAGAGGAACAUGUGGUCUCAUUUUCUGCUUAGGGAUAGCUCACAGGAUUCAUGAAGUGGUCACCAGAGGAUAAGGACCAACCAGGUUAACGUGAAGAAAACACCCAGCUGCAGCUGUUUAAUGAGCAACUCGAAGCUGUGGAUAAGAUUCUUGGAGGCUGAAAGAACACAUGGAGAGCAGUGUUUUUCCAGCUUCUGUGUUGGUAAGAGCCUGGAGUCUCUCUCUCUGUCUCUCUCUCUCUCUCUCUCUCUCUCUCACACACACACACACACACACACAGAGCAAUCACUGCACCCAGCCACCUCUAUAUACAUGUACACAAAGCCACACAGUUUACACAGUCACAGGUAUUUAAGUACACACUAUUCACACACAAAUACAUAUAUAGACACACAUGUACAGUCCGUCCAAAAUAUAUGUACAUAAAAGCACACUAUUACACCUUCAUAUGUGCACACACACACACACCCAGACUCACUUCAUACACACAUAGAUACAACAGCCACAGCUCCCCAUCACCUACACACACACACACACACCUGGACACCCAGCUCUAAUAUAAUCAGAUAGAGAUAUGCAUGCAGACAAAUUUGCCUGUAUAGUCAAACACAUAGGCAAAUAGAGAACGAGACACCACAUGAACAAAGGCAAACCUACACACAAAGACACAGAGCACACUUACGCAUAUAUCUAUAGACCCACCAUGGCACAUAUGGGUAAGUGCACACAGGCAAACUCACACACACGAGCAUGCACAGGCAGAGAACACAAAUGUACACUCCCAGGUGUCAUAAAGAACAGCCCAGCUUCGGCUUGGGAACGUCACAUCAGACAAUAGGAACGGCUGCACCGCGCGUUUCCUCGGCUGCCAGCUUCCCAGCCACAGAGGAUGCCUCACCUGCUAUGUCAGCUCCCCUCUGCCCCACCUCACAAGAAGCUCAGAAGCUGAGGAGUCACAGAGAGACCUCCCUACUGUGUCAGAGGCAUUUUAGGACCCAAAGGGACCUAAGAGAGUGCUCAGACAGCUGGCUGCGUUAGGAGCUACCUGUGGCUGCUGAAGAAGAGUUUGCGUCAAUUUAAAGAAAGAGCCAUUCAAGGAAUGAGGACCAUGACCUUGGCUGCACUGACCAGCUGGGCUCUGGAGACUCAGUGAGGCUGCCCAGCCACCAACAGGCCCUGCACAAUAGAUCCACGGACCCAGCAGUCAGAGGUGACCCUAGGGGUCACUGGCCCGUGGCUAAGGAGGAGGAGCACAGACCUGCGACCCCCUUUUCCCAUGGACCACCCAGGGAGGCUGAGCGGGGACUCUGAGCUCAGAUGGACAACCUCAGAGCCACUGGGAAUUUGCCUGAGGCCACUGGGGCCAGGGUUAAAUCCAUAUGAAGCAGCGCGGGCUGUGCACCUGCCAUUUUCUAGGCUCUGUCACAUGCAUCUUUCUGCCAAAUCUCAUGGUGAUCCUUCAAGAAUAGUACUAUUAAUCUCCCCAUUGACAGAGGGAGAAAGGGAGGCUCAGAGACGUUAAGUGUCUCACCAAAGCUCACACAGCUUCCAAGCAAUAGAACUUUACUCAGUACUCAGUACAGGUUAACAUUUAUUCAUUCACUCGAUAACCAUUUGCAGCACAGCUACCAUAUGCCAGGCAGUGUUCUAGGCACUUAGAAUACAUAGAUGAGCAAAACAGGCAAAACCUUUCCCUCAGGGCGUUACCAUUUGAGUGCCACCAUGCCACGGCUGGUACAGUUGCUAUUGAGACAAACAAAAUAAGACCCAGUUUUUGCCUUUGGGGAGUAGGUAGUCUAGUGGAGGAGGCACAUACACAGAAAAUUCCAAAGUACUGUGGAAAUCUCAGGGUACUUUGAUAGGGAUUACCAGAGGAGCUGUGAGAAUAAAGGCUGGAUAUCAGGGAAGGCUUCCUGGAAGAGGUGUUGCCUGAAAUGAGCCUGGAAGGAUCACUUAGGGACAGAAAAGUCAUUCCGUGUAGAAUUCAUGGUGAGUGACAGAGCCUAAACCCAGUCUCUUUUGCAUGCUGAGCACUGAGACCCAGACGCUGGUGCUCAGACCUGAUGACUUAUUUUCCCAGGUACAGCUUGAGCAAAGACACAGAAGCAGAAGGCAGGUUUUUGGUUCCAUGAACUCUACAUCUGGCUACAUACAAAUGGUGAAGAGGAACAGGGAGAAACAUGGUUGAAAAGAACAGGCUUGGACUUCAGGAAGCAGUAAAAUGAGCGAAUGCCAUUUAUGGUUACAAAGAUAACUCAGCUGGGGGCCAAACAGAGACUGAAAUGGAGUGGGUGAGGAUGGAGGCCGGGAGGAGAUGGCUGCAGAGGUCCCAGCAAUGACAGUGGUUGUGGGAAGGGGCAACCCCAAGUCUUGUGCUCCCAACUGCAAAUCCAGUGCUUUUUCUAAAAAAAUAUUUAAAUAAUUUAUUUAUUUUUGAGAUGGAGUCUCGCUCUGUCACCCAGGCUGGAGUGCAGUGACACAAUGUCGGCUCGUGCAACCUCUGCCCCCCGGGUUCAAGCGAUUCUCCUGCCUCAGCCUCCCAAGUAGCUGGGAUUACAGGCUUGUGUUUAAGCUUUAUUACAAAUAUAACUUUGAUCCUUCUGCUACUUGCAAUUCUAAAUUUGAUAUUACGAGUCUCAGCCUCAUCGGCGUUGAUGCGUGUGACCGACAUUGAUUCACUCUCACCAGUACGUGGUGUGUUCCGUUGCAUGCAUGCACCCCUGCUGGGGUAUCCAUUCUCCUGUUGGUGGACCUUUGGGUGGUAUUAGUUGCUGGUCAUCUCCAUGGUGCUGUCCUCUUGCAGGUCUCCAGGACACAUGUGCAUGAGUUCCUCUAGGAAACCACGGUGUACAACUGCUGGGUUGCAGGCCCAGGGUUCUUUCCACUUCUCUAUCCUCCCAAGUAGGGUCCAGCUGGCCUUAGUGCUGCCAUGCUGAGAGCUCUGGGAGGGGCAACCCAGGGCAGACAGGCCCAGGCCAGCCACCCUGCCCCAGGCAUUUCCCAGGACUCAUCAGGCACCCAGCGGCCCCUCAGCAGUGAGCAAUACCAGAAAUCUGCCAGCUGGCUACUAACUGGGUCACUUAGCAGAAGCAGAGUCUUUUAAUAGACCUCCAGAGGUUAAUGGGCCUGACAUAUCUUUGACAUUUAUUGGAUUUUACGAGCUAGUGGAUCUGACUCAGAAAGCCGAUCAGAUGUUCCAAAUCGAUGGCCCCUUUGGGGUGCUGUCUUCGCACAGAGCCAUAAUGAGGUGACCUUGGAUGCCUGAGUCCGGAAAGAACAGAAAGAGGAUGUCAGAAUCGUAGAAAUUGCUAAACUGAUCAAGGCCUACACAGUGCCUUCAGGCUCGCUCCUGGCCCCGAGAUGCUUUGCCCACGGAUUCUGUAACUGUACGUUCCUCUUGCCUCACCGUGCCCGAACAGUUACAAUCAUUAGUCU